rnacentral:rRNA from 1 species
CCUACGGGAGGCAGCAGUAGGGAAUAUUGCGCAAUGGCCGCAAGGCUGACGCAGCGACGCCGCGUGUGGGAGGGAGCCCUUCGGGGUGUAAACCACUGUCAGGGGGGAAGAACUUCGUGGACGCGAACAGCGUUCACGGUUGACGGUACCCCCAGAGGAAGCGCCGGCUAACUCCGUGCCAGCAGCCGCGGUAAUACGGAGGGCGCAAGCGUUGUUCGGAAUCACUGGGCGUAAAGCGCUCGCAGGCGGUCCCUUAAGUCCGCCGUGAAACUCCGGGGCUCAACCCCGGACUGGCGACGGAUACUGGGGGACUGGAGACUGGUAGAGGCUAGCGGAAUUCUUGGUGUAGCGGUGGAAUGCGUAGAUAUCAGGAAGAACACCGGUGGCGAAGGCGGCUAGCUGGGCCAGUUCUGACGCUCAUGAGCGAAAGCGUGGGGAGCAAACAGGGUUAGAUACCCUGG